rnacentral:ncRNA from 1 species
GGCAUAUUUCGCCAAAGCGGAGCUCGACCGCCUUCAGAAGUGAUGGUCGCCUUCAUCGACGAACAUCGCUCGAUCUUGGGAGUCGAGCCGAUUUGCCGUGAGUUGCAGAUCGCUCCC